UGAUGCAAUGUUUAUUUUUAUCUUAUUUUCGAAAGGUUAUCGUGGAGUCAUGUGAUCUCACGUGACGAAAAAAAUCUAAUUUUAGCCAACUGGAGCAAUGAAUGAACUCGGAAAGUGAUGGAUUUUUAAGCCGAGCAGCUAAAAUUGAUGUGGAAAGUAAUAUUCUGCCAAGAAAAUUUUACUGAUUAUAUCUAAAGGUGAUAAAAUAAUGUUAGCAUAUAAAGCACAUAAAAUACAAUUCAAUACAUACAAGGCCAACAGAAUUUUUUUCUGAGAACGAGGUUCCCUCGCCUUGACGAGGGGAGAUGACGCGCGGCUAUAAGCAGUUACUUCCCUUUGCAGGGAUCAAAUUGUGCGUGUUACCUCUAUUUGGAACUAGAUCUAGAUGCGACUCGUCACAGACUUGGAGCGUCACGUGACUGUGCUUUAAAUUAUAGAACGGAACUGCUGUCAGGGUGAUUGAUUUAUUUAUAGAAGACGCCAUCUUGGAAGCGAGUUGGAAGACGCCACUAGUUUAAACUGUGCCUUCCGUCUGAGGACAUUCAAACUUUCACAGUAGAAAUAGUUCAACGCUAUCUAAAUGUAUGUGCUCUCUUUUUACCAGUUACAAAACAUAAACUAUAUUUAGAAAGGGUUCUACAUUUUUAUAAAACAAUGGUAUCAUAAAAGAUACAACUUUUAA